rnacentral:rRNA from 1 species
CCUACGGGUGGCUGCAGUGAGGAAUAUUGGUCAAUGGCCGGGAGGCUGAACCAGCCCAGUCGCGUGAGGGAAAACGGCCCUACGGGUUGUACACCUCUUUUGUCAGGGAGCAAGGUGCAGGUCGGGACCUGCUGUGAGAGUACCUGAAGAAAACGCAUCGGCUAACUCCGUGCCAGCAGCCGCGGUAAUACGGAAGAUGCGAGCGUUAUCCGGAUUUAUUGGGUAUAAAGGGUCGGGGGCGGAGGCAACACUCAGGGGUAAAAUCGCGGGGCGCAACCCCGCUCCGCCGUUGAAACUGUGUCCCUUGAGUGCGCGAAGGGUAGGCGGAAUGCGUGGUGUAGCGGUGAAAUGCAUAGAUAUCACGCAGAACUCCGAUCGCGAAGGCAGCCUACCGGCGCGCAACUGACGCUCAUGCACGAAAGCGUGGGUAUCGAACAGGAUUAGAUACCCUAGUAGUC